GAACGCACAUUGCGCCCCUUGGUAUUCCAUGGGGCAUGCCUGUUCGAGCGUCAUUUGUACCUUCAAGCCUUGCUUGGUGUUGGGUGUUUGUCUCGCCUCUGCGCGCAGACUCGCCUCAAAACAAUUGGCAGCCGGCGUAUUGAUUUCGGAGCGCAGUACAUCUCGCGCUUUGCACUCAUAACGACGACGUCCAAAAAGUACAUUUUUACACUCUUGACCUCGGAUCAGGUAGGGAUACCCGCUGAACUUA
rnacentral:misc_RNA from 1 species